GAUAAACGCUGGCGGCGUGCAUAACACAUGCAAGUCGAACGAUGAAGAUUAAAAGAUUUCUUCGGAAUGAACUUAAUUGGAUUAGUGGCGGACGGGUGAGUAACGCGUGAGUAACCUGCCUUGUACAAGGGGAUAGCCGUUGGAAACGACGAAUAAUACCCUAUAACAUCAAAUAAUCGCAUGAUAAUUUGAUCAAAGAUUUAUCGGUAUAAGAUGGACUCGCGUCUGAUUAGCUAGUUGGUGGGGUAACUGCUCACCAAGGCAACGAUCAGUAGCCGGCUUGAGAGAGUGUACGGCCACAUUGGGACUGAGACACGGCCCAG
rnacentral:rRNA from 1 species